rnacentral:rRNA from 1 species
AAUAUUGGACAAUGGGGGCAACCCUGAGCCAGCCCUCCCGCGUGUGUGUAGAAGGUCUCCGGAUUGUAAAGCACUUUAUGUUGGGAGGAAGUGCAGUAAGUUAACACCUUGCUGUAUUGACGUUACCGCCAGAAUAAGCACCGGCGAACUUCGUGCCAGCAGCCGCGGUAAUACGAAGGGUGCAAGCGUUAAUCGGAAUUACUGGGGGUAAAGCGCGCGUAGGUGGUUCCUUAAGAUGGGUGUGAAAGCCCCGGGCUUAACCUUGGAAUUGCUUUCAUAACUGGUGGGCUUGAGUGCGGUAGAGGGUAGUGGAAUUCCCUGUGUAGCGGUGAAAUGCGUAGAUAUUGGGAGGAACACCAGUGGCGAAGGCGACUACCUGGACUGUUACUGACGCUGAGGUGCGAAAGCGAGGGGAGCAAAC